CUGAGGAAUGCUACUGCAACACAAAUGUCCCCUAGCUUCUCUGUGGAUACCCACUUCAUGCUCUGGAAUCACUGAGCCACAAAUCACCUGUGUGGUCCUGGCUGCCUGGGAACUUAUUAUGUAGCCAACACUGCAUGGAACCUGCAGAGAUCCACUUAUACAUAUCAAGUCCAAGUCCUCCAAGUGGUGCUUCAUCAGGACCCAAUCCUCCUGCAGUUUCUUUUUCUUCUACCUCAGCCUGUUCAGCUUCUUGUGCCCCUGAGUCUGUUCCAUCAGGAUCCUGUUGUGCAACCUCUAGAGACACACUCUGCAUGUCUCUGGAUGUUCUCCAUGUUCUCAGAGACCUCAGUCUUGACAACAUCUCUAAUGAUAAUCCAGAGAGUCACUGAAGUAAUGCCCUAAGCACAGUUGGUGUUGCUACAACACUGGUGACAUCAUGGAAUGCCCUGAGCUCUCCAGGACACAAUAGAAUGCCCAGGGAAGGGCCUGCUGAUGUCAUGGUGCCUUUGCCACCCUGCUAAUUAUUACUCCCUGAAUGUACCAAAAUCCCAAGUUCCCUUUCCAGGAUCCUGUCUUGGAAUGUGGGGUAAGCCAUCCGGCAACUCCUCCUCCCAAAUCCAGAGUUUCCUUAGCUUGCAUGGAAGCCCCAUAUUACUUCCCAUGUGGAGAACAGAGCUAUACUUUCUAAACAUUGGUGAGUAAUGUCUCAUUCCUUCCUCAAGAGCCCUCUUAUUCAUCAUGAGCAAUUAAAUACUACUGAGUCAAGAAUGCAUGUUGGCUAG